AAUCAACGCUGGCGGCGUGCCUCAGACAUGCAAGUCGAACGAUUAAGACUUCCUUCGGGAAGUGCAUAAAGUGGCGCACGGGUGAGUAACACGUAAGUAAUCUACCCUCGAGUGGGGAAUAACGUUCGGAAACGGACGCUAAUACCGCAUAAUGCAGCGGCACCGCAAGGUGACAGUUGUUAAAGGAGUAAUUCGCUUGAGGAGGAGCUUGCGGCAGAUUAGCUUGUUGGUAAGGUAACGGCUUACCAAGGCUACGAUCUGUAUCCGGUCUUAGAGGACGGUCGGACACACUGACACUGAAUAACGGGUCAGACUCCUACGGGAGGCUG
rnacentral:rRNA from 1 species